rnacentral:lncRNA from 1 species
CACAGAAGCAGAGGAAGGUUUAGAACAAGCGUUUUUUCAUAGAGACCUAUACGUCUAAGGCAAAAAAAAAAAAGGGUUACGGCAAAGGAUUUUUUUUCCUUGUAAUUUCAGCAUGAGUUUUCAACUGUAAAGACUGAGCUUAUACUAUUUUUAUUGCUUUGCCUGAACCUACUGAUCCCACAGUCUUAACUGUCUCAACUUAGUGCUUUUAGGCAAUGAAAUGUGAAUGUAUAUGUCUGUAUCAAACUGCAAUUUGUUUUACUCCUACAAAUAUGAAGCCAUACUACGAUGAGGCUUUCAGUUUAGGAUAUCACAGAGGUGGUGUACCUAAGCUGCACUUAAAUGAUCCUUUAAAAUGUUUAUUUUUUGAUUAAGCCAAAUAUAAUGAUUAGCUUACUACACUGAGAGUUAGUGUCUGAGAGUUAUUCUGUCCACAGAAUUCUCUGCCUGCACAAAGGAUGCAGUAGCACAAUUUUAGUUCUUCGCUGGCUAUGCUGCUGCAGAACCUGUCAUCUGAAGGUUUUUGUCCCUUUGCAUUUGUGAAUUCCCUUUGUAAUGCUGCAUUAUUCCUCUUCAUCCAUGCUUCAAAAUCAGUUCCUAGAACUCUCUUUCCAAAUAACCAGAGUUCCUAAAAGAUAUUUAUUCUGUGUGACUAAAGUAGCUAGGCAUCUUGUGGAGCAUCUGUAGGAAGCAAAUGCAUGGGAUUAGCCUACAUGGCCACUGAAUGUGUUUGUUGCUGCAUGUGAAAACGAUGUCAUCUCUAAGUGUUGUUUAUUCUGAUGAGAAUGUCAGUCCUUUCAGGUUGGUAUGAAACAGCCCAUCUCCGGAAAUGUGUGGAAAACAAAUGGAAGAUCCUAUUUUUUCCAAGAUAAAGACUUUACAAGCUGCCGAAUGCCUUGUUCACUGGUAAGACUUUUUUUCAGGAAUCUUGCAUUGCUGCACUACCCUGGUUCAGAAGUCAGAGCGCUUGGUAGCUCAGGAUGUCUUCAAGAACUCUAGGACUGCUGCUGCUGCUCGUGGUACAAGCACAAAGAUGAGGUUAAGAUUUCCCCCACCAGUGCACACUCACCAGCCCUGAGGCACAGCUCCCUGCUCUGCUCCUGACAUGUGUUUCUCUGUGAACUUGGACGGUGCCUACCACGCUGGCAGGAAGCCACACCGGAGCUAACAGAGAGGCACGGGAACUCAGCAGCAAUAAACAGGACACUGAACCCCCUGCA